CAUUCUGGGCGGCGCCAUCUUACAGGAAGAGGAAGAGAGACCCAGCUACAGCGCGGAGGCAAGGACGCUCUGCAGUGAUUGCGGGAGACUCUAUGGUAGUGGGAGGUACCCCGUGAUGUUUUGUCCAAUAGGAAUGCAGAGCAGUGCUGAGGGACAGAACACCAGAGAAAUAUCAGCUGAAUCAUUCCUGUGUUCUGCCAUUGACCUGGCACUACUGGAUUCUUCUAGAACAUGCCGUCACCUUCUGCACAUCAGUGGCAAAUAGAACAAGCUGCCCUCGUGCCAAGCCCACCGCAGGAAUGUCAUGAUGGAAUGUGCCUGUGGGGGGAGAAUAUGCAGAGCCCUGGGUGCGGUGCCAUGGGGAGAGAACAGCAAUAAGGUGCUCUACGGCACCAACACAAUUUGGAGCGUCCACUUCAUUACAUGCCUCCCACCUGGAAGGACACCCCGUGAUACCCCAGCAGGACCUGAGCUUGCUCCACAAGGGUUAACAGCAGCACCAGCAACUGGAAUAAAGGC